AGGGGUAGAAGGAGCUUGCUCCUUUGAGACCGGCGCACGGGUGCGUAACGCGUAUGCAAUCUACCUUGUACAGGGGAAUAGCCCAGAGAAAUUUGGAUUAAUGCCCCAUAGUAUAUAACCUUCGCAUGUUGGUUAUAUUAAAGUUCCAACGGUACAAGAUGAGCAUGCGUCCCAUUAGUUAGUUGGUAAGGUAACGGCUUACCAAGACGAUGAUGGGUAGGGGUCCUGAGAGGGAGAUCCCCCACACUGGUACUGAGACACGGACCAGACUCCUACGGGAGGCAGCAGUGAGGAAUAUUGGUCAAUGGUCGCAAGACUGAACCAGCCAUGCCGCGUGCAGGAAGACGGUCCUAUGGAUUGUAAACUGCUUUUAUACAGGAAGAAACCCUCCCACGUGUGGGAGCUUGACGGUACUGUAGGAAUAAGGAUCGGCUAACUCCGUGCCAGCAGCCGCGGUAAUACGGAGGAUCCAAGCGUUAUCCGGAAUCAUUGGGUUUAAAGGGUCCGUAGGCGGCCUUAUAAGUCAGUGGUGAAAGCCCAUCGCUCAACGAUGGAACUGCCAUUGAUACUGUAAGGCUUGAAUUAUUGUGAAGUAACUAGAAUAUGUA
rnacentral:rRNA from 1 species